rnacentral:rRNA from 1 species
UGGGGAAUAUUGGACAAUGGAGGAAACUCUGAUCCAGCAAUUCUGUGUGUGUGAAGAAGGUUUUAGGACUGUAAAACACUUUUAGUAGGGAAGAAAAAAAUGACGGUACCUACAGAAGAAGCAACGGCUAAAUACGUGCCAGCAGCCGCGGUAAUACGUAUGUUGCGAGCGUUAUCCGGAAUUAUUGGGCUUAAAGGGCAUCUAGGCGGUAAGACAAGUUGAAGGUGGAAACCUGUGGCUCAACCAUAGGCUUGCCUACAAAACUGUUGAACUAGAGUACUGGAAAGGUGGGUGGAACUACACGAGUAGAGAUGAAAUUCGUAGAUAUGUGUAGGAAUGCCGAUGAUGAAGAUAACUCACUGGACAGAAACUGACGCUGAAGUGCGAAAGCUAGGGGAGCAAACAGG